rnacentral:rRNA from 1 species
AUUGGACGCUGGCGGCAGGCCUAACACAUGCAAGUCGAGCGGAUGACGGGAGCUUGCUCCUUGAUUCAGCGGCGGACGGGUGAGUAAUGCCUAGGAAUCUGCCUGGUAGUGGGGGACAACGUUUCGAAAGGAACGCUAAUACCGCAUACGUCCUACGGGAGAAAGCAGGGGACCUUCGGGCCUUGCGCUAUCAGAUGAGCCUAGGUCGGAUUAGCUAGUUGGUGAGGUAAUGGCUCACCAAGGCGACGAUCCGUAACUGGUCUGAGAGGAUGAUCAGUCACACUGGAACUGAGACACGGUCCAGACUCCUACGGGAGGCAGCAGUGGGGAAUAUUGGACAAUGGGCGAAAGCCUGAUCCAGCCAUGCCGCGUGUGUGAAGAAGGUCUUCGGAUUGUAAAGCACUUUAAGUUGGGAGGAAGGGCAGUAAGCUAAUACCUUGCUGUUUUGACGUUACCGACAGAAUAAGCACCGGCUAACUCUGUGCCAGCAGCCGCCGUAAAAC